AGUUUUAUCCUAAAAAAAAAAAUCUAGGUUUUAGUUAGCAACGGAUUUUAAAAAGGGUUGCUAAAACCGUCGCUAGGUCCAAAUUAAAAGAACAUUUUCUAGGGCACAAAUCAACACUUUUAUUUUGAAACACCACAAAACCAGGAAAUACUCCCAGAAAAAUCAGAGAAAUCACUUAGUCUAUCUACUGUUUUCCACCAUGUGAACGCCAUCAUCCUUCCGAUCCUAGUGAGGAGUUGUUUGGUUAAAGAAUUACAACGUUGGGCACCUUCUUAUCUCUUUCGUUCCCAGUGAUCGAUUGGAGAUUCAAGACGACCUCUUCUUCCACAUAAAAGAUAGCCCCCAAGAACAAGAAUAGAGCCCUCAAGAAUAUAAUUCUCACUUUCUCUUUCGAAAAAAAAAAGUACCUCAAGUAAUCUUCUCUAAAGUUCCUUUCUGCUUGCUCAUUUUUAAGCUGUGCUUGUUGGAUUCUUGAGUUCUGUUUUUAACUUCUGUUUCGUGAUCUCUAUUUUUGAAAUUGUGAAUUUUGAAUUUGACAAAUUGGGUUUAGGGAUUUGUGAGUUACAAUUUAAUUCAAAGUUAUAAUCGAUGGGUUGUUUGUUGGAUGCUAUAUUCUGCAUUAUGAUAUUUAUUAGAGUCACUGUUCUAAAGUUCUUGUUUUGGGAAAUUUAAGGCUGGAAUUUAAGGCGACUAAGGUGAAAAGUUUCUAUUUUGUAUUUAGUUCUGUGUGAAUUUCUGAUCGAGCACGGUUGUAUAUAUCUACUUCAAGGUUUUUUUCUUACAAUUCUUUUAGUUUGCGCCAGUUUCUUGAAACUUCAGUGAGUUUCCUUUUUUUUUUUUUUUUGACAAAUAAACUGCACUUUGCUAUUCUUCCCAGGUGGUCAUACUCAUAUCCAUGUAUACAAAUAAUGUCCCAAAUUUGUUCCCUUAGUGCAUCAUUCGGCCAUACUAUCCUUGCACCCCUGCAUUUGCUGAACUGCUGCAUACUUGAUAUUAUCAUAUGAACUGCAUGGUGUACUAAUGUGAAAAAGAUGCUACUAUUUAUAAAAAAAACAAGCAGCAGAUGCUCCAAUUCCAUGUACUA